AUUGAACGCUGGCGGCAGGCCUAACACAUGCAAGUCGAACGGUAACAGGAAGAAGCUUGCUUCUUUGCUGACGAGUGGCGGACGGGUGAGUAAUGUCUGGGAAACUGCCUGAUGGAGGGGGAUAACUACUGGAAACGGUAGCUAAUACCGCAUAACGUCGCAAGACCAAAGAGGGGGACCUUCGGGCCUCUUGCCAUCGGAUGUGCCCAGAUGGGAUUAGCUAGUAGGUGGGGUAACGGCUCACCUAGGCGACGAUCCCUAGCUGGUCUGAGAGGAUGACCAGCCACACUGGAACUGAGACACGGUCCAGACUCCUACGGGAGGCAGCAGUGGGGAAUAUUGCACAAUGGGCGCAAGCCUGAUGCAGCCAUGCCGCGUGUAUGAAGAAGGCCUUCGGGUUGUAAAGUACUUUCAGCGGGGAGGAAGGGAGUAAAGUUAAUACCUUUGCUCAUUGACGUUACUCGCAGAAGAAGCACCGGCUAACUCCGUG
rnacentral:rRNA from 1 species